rnacentral:rRNA from 1 species
AUGGCGGCGGCGACGGCUCCGGUCGAGGUGCCCGCGGCGGCGCCGGUGAGGACUGUGAAGGUCACAAAUGUUUCCCUGAGUGCAACUGAGCAAGACAUUAAGGAGUUCUUUUCUUUUUCAGGAGACAUUGAACAUGUGGAUAUGAAAAGUGGUGACGAGUGGUCUCAAAUUGCAUAUGUUACUUUUAAAGAUGCCCAAGGAGCAGAGACUGCGCUUCUUCUUUCGGGUGCAACAAUAGUUGACCUUUCUGUUAUCAUUGCACCUGCUCCAGAGUAUCAACCGCCCCCUACUGCCUCUGCUCCACUGAUGAAUGGAACCAGAGUACCAGUGGGUGGUGACAAUGUGGUCCACAAGGCUGAGGAUGUUGUCAGCACUAUGCUUGCCAGGGGUUUCACCCUGGGCAAAGACGCUGUCGGAAAGGCGAAAUCUUUUGAUGAGAGGCAUGGCUUCACAUCCACCGCCACCGCCAAGGUGGCCUCCAUCGACAAGAAGAUAGGGCUCAGCGAGAAGUUUACCAUGGGCACUACAGUGGUAAACGAGAAGGUCAAGGAGAUGGACCAGAAGUUCCAGGUCUCCGACAAGACCAAGUCGGCGCUGGCUGCGGCAGAGCAGACGGUGAGCAACGCUGGGUCCGCCAUCAUGAAGAACAGGUACGUCUUCACGAGCGCGUCGUGGGUCACCAGCGCGUUUGGCAAGGUUGCCAAGGCCGCCACCGACGUCAGCACGAUGACGAAGGAGAAGAUGUCAGCCGAGGACCAGCAAAAGGGCUCCGGGGGCAGCUCGUACACGCCCAUCCGCUGA